GCGGUAGUAGUUUAGUGGCAGAAUGGCGGACUGUGGCUCCGCGGAGGCGAGUUCGAUUCUCGUCUACCGCC
rnacentral:tRNA from 1 species